rnacentral:tRNA from 1 species
UCUCUCAUGGCGUAGUGGUUAACGCGCCCCAACUAGAGAUCGGGGAGUCGUGAGUUCGAUUCUCACUGAGAAGA